ensembl:snRNA U6 U6 spliceosomal RNA
GUGCUCACUUCAGCAACACAUAUUACUAAAGUUGGAACGAUACACAGAUUAGCAUAGCCCCUGAGCAAGGAUGACAAGCAGAUCUGUUAAGCAUUCCAUCUUAAA